UACGUAGGGUGCAAGCGUUGUCCGGAAUUAUUGGGCGUAAAGGGCGCGUAGGCGGCUUCUCAAGCGUGUGGUGAAAGUCCGGGGCUCAACCCCGGAUCGGCCGUGCGGACUGGGGAGCUCGAGUUCUGUAGAGGCGGGUGGAAUUCCGGGUGUAGCGGUGGAAUGCGUAGAGAUCCGGAAGAACACCGGUGGCGAAGGCGGCCCGCUGGGCAGAGACUGACGCUGAUGCGCGACAGCGUGGGGAGCAAACAGG
rnacentral:rRNA from 1 species